AAAAUAAUAUCUAUAGCUAUGUAAAUUAAAUAAUUUAAAAUGACAAAAUAAUAUUUAUCAAUAACACAUCUUUUCUUUAUGGUUUAUUUUCUAAGCUUAAAAAUUGCAUCAAUGCCCCACAGUCCUCUGAAAAAAAAAAUGUCAGAAUACACACAGAUAAAUGGAGGUGGCCAAUGGUAUGCCUGUGACAAACCAAGAUGCCCUUUUUAUACAAUUGCCAUAUGUAAUAGCCAUUACUCAAAUUGUAUCAUGCAUCUCAAGAAGGGAAG
rnacentral:misc_RNA from 1 species